UACAGAGGUCUCGAGCGUUAGGCGGAAUCACUGGGCUUAAAGCGCGUGUAGGCGGCCCGAUAAGUCCGCUGUGAAAGUCCAGGGCUCAACCCUGGGAUGCCGGUGGAUACUGUCGGGCUCGAGUCCGGAAGAGGCGAGUGGAAUUCCUGGUGUAGCGGUGAAAUGCGCAGAUAUCAGGAGGAACACCAAUGGCGAAGGCAGCUCGCUGGGACGUGACUGACGCUGAGACGCGAAAGCGUGGGGAGCAAACAGG
rnacentral:rRNA from 1 species